CAGUCACAAAACUUGCUCUGUAAACAGAGUUUAUACACCACCAAGUACAGAAGUUUAACAUUUGUUUAACUCUCCCAUUUGCUGUUUUAAACACGCAUUUUGCUGGGCAGAGGCUGGAAUGUUCAUUGCUUUGCAAGCUCACAUCUGCAUGAAAUGCAUUCGUUUGAAACUGGGCUUUUGUGUGAGCCUUCUGCACUUUCCUCAUGGAUGCUCGGGCGGGGGGCGGGGGGGCGCGGCGGGAGAUUUCCAAGCUGAUCACUUGAACUACGGGCCUGAGUAGCAAUUCUAAGGUUCCUUAGUUAACUUCCUUUUACCUCACUUCUUUGAAGCAACUAUUUCUUGUCAUUUCAUUAAGAUCUCCAGGAAGAAGGGUAACUUUGUUAGCAGAGUGGCCAAGAUAAGACGCUUGCAAAAUUGAGAUGAAACUGGCUGUGUCUUGUCCUUUAUCUUUAGUUUUAUAUGGUCUUAUUUUUAAACAAGUUAACAUCAGUGAUGAUAUGCUGCACAGAGCAGCUGGAGAUUUCUGAUUCUGAAACCGUAUAUGCGCUGUGUCGUAUCAAAUACAUUUUAUUGCAGAUGUGCCUUUUUUCAAAUGCAUUUUGAAGGCUGAUCUUUCACAUCAAGGCCCUUCUGAAUGCAUUUUUGAAAAACACUAAUGUUACCUAGUGGAACAGAGGAAGCUGGCUUACCUAGUCAACUGGGGUUUCCCUUUGAAUAGGAAAACCCCGGAGCAGCAUAGCUGGUUCUAUACCACCCGGUCAUGGGAAGGGAUGUGGAAUUAUAUGGGUCACAACAUGCUCCAGCAAUCUCUGGCAGGCAGGCAACACCUUUGGGGCCAUGGUAAGGGCUGUAAUUUAGAAACUGUUCUGUUGCUGCUCUAAACAGUGCCAGGGGCUGAAAAAGCUCCCACCUGCCCCCCUGAAGGAUUUGGGGCAGAAAGAUGAUUUAAUACCACCUUCCUGUCUUCUCAACAGCCCACGGCACGUAUGCCUGGUCUAUACUAGACUAGGCAGGUUGGCUUAAGGUAUGUAACUCUAGGAGACAGCGUACGUGGCGACAUCCACACAGCAGGAGGCUGAUGGGAGCACAAGCUCCCGUUGGCUUCCCUUACUCCUCACAGAAGGAGGCGUACUGGCCGCUGGUGGGUGCUGCCCUUAACAUUCAAUUUUAGGGGCCUAUCCUAGGCCUGCUAAAUUGAACGCUAGAAGAUCGACCUCCAGAAUGUCGAUCUUCUUGUGAGUGUGGACAUGCCCCAAGUGAGCAGACUUGAGAAUCUAUUCCUGUGUGUAUUUCAGGGCUGCAUUGCCCAGCCUAACACAGUGUGGCAGAACAAGAUCAGAUGUUAAAGUAAUCUAUCAUGGCAAAAGUUGACUUAAC